rnacentral:rRNA from 1 species
UACGGGGGGGGCAAGCGUUGUUCGGAAUUACUGGGCGUAAAGGGCGCGUAGGCGGCCUGCUAAGUCGGACGUGAAAUCCCUCGGCUCAACCGAGGAACUGCGUCCGAUACUGGUGGGCUUGAAUCCGGGAGAGGGAUGUGGAAUUCCAGGUGUAGCGGUGAAAUGCGUAGAUAUCUGGAGGAACACCGGUGGCGAAGGCGGCAUCCUGGACCGACAUUGACGCUGAACGGCGAAAGCUAGGGGAGCAAACGGG